UCACACGUGUUCAUUGCCUCUUGCACAAGAUCACGCGAUCGGUUGGCGACAGCAUGAGCGGAUGCAGUAUGGGUGUUGAUUGUCCAUCUAAACCCCCUGACUGAAGAAACUUUUUAAAGUUUCCACGUAAGGCUCAAAUAUUGUUUCAGCCAUGAGGCUACAGUUGUGCUGAAGAAUCCUUCUCUAACUGUUAUGUGCUAAUGGCAGAUAAUGUAAGAACUACAGUCAUUAGAUUCCAUUGAUGGCUUCAUUUUGGGGCACAUGUAUUCGGUGACUGGUUGCUUGUUCAUUGGCAGUGAUGCAACUUGAGUAGAGCUAAUUUUAUUGCCAUGUUUGGAGAACAUCUGAAAUGAGUGGUGGUGAUUGUUUCUUGUAAACCUGGGCUGUCCAAACUCGGUCCUGGAGGGCCGGUAUCCUGCAGAGUUUAGCUCCAACUUGCCUCAACA